rnacentral:rRNA from 1 species
GGAGUUAGCCGGUGCUUCUUCUGUGAGUGAUGUCCUUCCUGCCGGCUAUUAACCCGCAGGCCUUCUUCCUCACUGAAAGUGCUUUACAACCCGAAGGCCUUCUUCACACACGCGGCAUGGCUGGAUCAGGGUUGCCCCCAUUGUCCAAUAUUCCCCACUGCUGCCUCCCGUAGGAGUCUGGUCCGUGUCUCAGUCCCAGUGUGGCUGAUCAUCCUCUCAGACCAGCUACGGAUCGUCGCCUUGGUGAGCCGUUACCUCACCAACCAGCUAAUCCGACAUAGGCUCAUCCGAUAGCGCGAGGCCCGAAGGUCCCCCGCUUUCCCCCGUAGGGCGUAUGCGGUAUUAGCCUGGGUUUCCCCCAGGUUAUCCCCCACUACCGGGCAGAUUCCUAUGCAUUACUCACCCGUCCGCCGCUCGCCACCAGGGAGCAAGCUCCCCGUGCUGCCGCUCGACUUGCAUGUGUUAGGCCUGCCGCCAGCGUUCAAUCUGAACCAAGAUCAAAUUCUGA